rnacentral:rRNA from 1 species
GACGAACGCUGGCGGCGUGCUUAACACAUGCAAGUCGAACGGAAAGGCCCUGCUUUUGUGGGGUGCUCGAGUGGCGAACGGGUGAGUAACACGUGAGUAAUCUGCCCUUGACUUUGGGAUAACUUCAGGAAACUGGGGCUAAUACCGGAUAGGAGCUCCUGCUGCAUGGGGGGGGUUGGAAAGUUUCGGCGGUUGGGGAUGGACUCGCGGCUUAUCAGCUUGUUGGUGGGGUAGUUGCUUACCAAGGCUUUGACGGGUAGCCGGCCUGAGAGGGUGACCGGCGACAUUGGGACCGAGAUGCGGCACAGGCUGCUACGGGAGGAAGCAGUGGGGAAUAUUGCACAAUGGGCGGAAGGCUGAUGAAGCAACGCCGCGUGCGGGAUGACGGCCUUCGGGUUGUAAACCGCUUUCGCCUGUGACGCAGCGUGAGUGACGGUAAUGGGUAAAGAAGCACCGGCUAACUACGUG